UGCAGUCGAACGCCCUCUUUUAGAGGGAGUGGCGCAGGGUGCGUAACGCGUGGGAACCUGCCCUUAGGUUCGGAAUAACUCANAGAAAUUUGAGCUAAUACCGGAUAAUGUCUUCGGACCAAAGAUUUAUCGCCUUUGGAUGGGCCCGCGUAGGAUUAGAUAGUUGGUGGGGUAAUGGCCUACCAAGUCGACGAUCCUUAGCUGGUCUGAGAGGAUGAUCAGCCACACUGGGACUGAGACACGGCCCAGACUCCUACGGGAGGCAGCAGUGGGGAAUAUUGGACAAUGGGCGAAAGCCUGAUCCAGCAAUGCCGCGUGAGUGAUGAAGGCCUUAGGGUUGUAAAGCUCUUUUACCAGGGAUGAUAAUGACAGUACCUGGAGAAUAAGCUCCGGCUAACUCCGUGCCAGCAGCCGCGGUAAUACGGAGGGAGCUAGCGUUGUUCGGAAUUACUGGGCGUAAAGCGCACGUAGGCGGCUUUUCAAGUCAGGGGUGAAAUCCCGGGGCUCAACCCCGGAACUGCCCUUGAAACUGGAUGGCUAGAAUACUGGANAGGUGAGUGGAAUUCCGAGUGUA
rnacentral:rRNA from 1 species